ACCUAAUAGAUACCCAGGUAGUCCACGCCCUAAACGAUGCGAACUGGAUGUUGGGUACAUUACGGUACUCAGUGUCGAAAGCUAAACGCGUUAAGUUCGCCGCCUGGGGAGUACGGUCGCAAGACUGAGACUCAAAGGAAUUGACGGGGGCCCGGCACAAGCGGUGGAGUAUGUGGUUUAAAUUCGAUGCAACGCGAAGAACCUUACCUGGCCUUGACAUCUGUCGAAUCCUGCAGAGAUGCGGGAGUGCCGCAAGGAACGACAAGACAGGUGCUGCAUGGCUGUCGUCAGCUCGUGUCGUGAGAUGUUGGGUUUAAGUCCCGCAACGAGCGCAACCCUUACGUCCCUACGUUGCCAGCACAUCAUGGUGGGAACUCUAGGGAGACUGCCGGUGACAAACCGGAGG
rnacentral:rRNA from 1 species